UACAGAGGGGGCAAGCGUUAUUCGGAAUUAUUGGGCGUAAAGGGCGCGUAGGCGGCUUGGCAAGUGGAAGGUGAAAUCCCUCGGCUUAACCGAGGAACUGCCCUCCAAACUGCUUCGCUUGAGACCGGGAGAGGUGAGUGGAAUUCCCAGUGUAGCGGUGAAAUGCGUAGAUAUUGGGAGGAACACCAGUGGCGAAGGCGGCUUCCUGGCCUGUUCUUGACGCUGAGGCGCGAAAGCUAGGGUAGCAAACGGG
rnacentral:rRNA from 1 species